rnacentral:tRNA from 1 species
GCCACAGGUAGCUCAGUUGGUAGAGCAGGAGACUCUCAAUCUCAGAGUUGUGGGUUUGAAUCUCACACCAGGCA